UAUAGUCUCGCCCAAAGACAUUUAACUCUGGGCUCUAAUCAGCGGACACUGUAAACCGCAGUUACAAAUAACAGAUAUAAAGAUUGGAGGAAAGU
rnacentral:ncRNA from 1 species